AUUGAACGCUGGCGGCAUGCUUUACACAUGCAAGUCGAACGGUAACAGGCCUUCGGGUGCUGACGAGUGGCGAACGGGUGAGUAAUGCAUCGGAACGUACCCAGAGGUGGGGGAUAACGCAGCGAAAGCUGUGCUAAUACCGCAUGUGAUCUGAGGAUGAAAGCGGGGGACCGAGCAGCAAUGUUUGGCCUCGCGCCUUUGGAGCGGCCGAUGUCGGAUUAGCUAGUUGGUGGGGUAAAGACCUACCAAGGCGACGAUCCGUAGCUGGUCUGAGAGGACGACCAGCCACACUGGGACUGAGACACGGCCCAGACUCCUACGGGAGGCAGCAGUGGGGAAUUUUGGACAAUGGGCGCAAGCCUGAUCCAGCAAUGCCGCGUGCGGGAAGAAGGCCUUCGGGUUGUAAACCGCUUUUGGCAGGAACGAAACGGUGUCCGCUAAUACCGGGCGCUAAUGACGGUACCUGCAGAAUAAGCACCGGCUAACUACGUG
rnacentral:rRNA from 1 species